rnacentral:rRNA from 1 species
UCAGUUGGCUUAUAAUUGAAGUCUAGUAUGAAUGGGACCACGGGAAUAUUCUGUCUUUAAUAUAUAAAGAAAUUACUAAUUAAGUGAAAAUUCUUAAAAGUUAGAAAAUAGACGAGAAGACCCUAGAAAUUUUUUAUUUAGAUUUUGUUGGGGCGACAGGGUAACAAAAAACUUACCUAUAAAUAAUAGGAAAUUUUUUAGUGGUGUAAUUAAAUUACUCUAGGGAUAACAGCAUAAUAUUUUAAAGGUUGUGACCUCGAUGUUGGACUAGGAAUAUCAUUACU